UAACUAGGCCUACUACUACUUGUUCUAAGCAGGUGUUGUCAGUGAACAGGCUGUAAAACUGUUGUCUAAGUUACAGACACUCAUGAAAAACUGAUGCUAAUUAUCUGGGAAACAUUGUCUAACAUCAGUCAAGUUGUCAUUUUUUGUGUCAAACAAGUUGUUUUUAUAACAUUAAAACAGGCGAUCAUGAUUUAUCUUGAAUCUUACCCAGAUACAAUAGUGCUAUUUUCUGAUUGGCUAUUGUAGGGUAGAGUGAGUAUAGUUGAGACACUUUUUUCGUUUUGAUAUUUCACACAAAAAUAGAUACUGAAAAGAAGUGAAUUUCCACAUGACAUGCCACAUGACAUUUCAUUAGCUUGUAGACUAAGAUAUUAUCAAUCAAUAAUACCCAUGAGUAGUUUAUAUUUUCCACAAUUAGCUCAUAAAAAUAAGGUGCUUUUUGUCUCAACUUUGUCUCAACUGUACCCAUAUGUGGUACAGUUGAGACACCCAUUUUUAAUGAUGUAAAGGUAAACUAAUCGUUCAUUGCAAAUAUAAUAAAUAAAGACAAAUAAAUAAAAUAACAAUUGUGCAACAUGUUUGUUUAUUCAUCCAUUUAAAUUAAUUAAUUUUGUUUAAAUUGGCUUUAUGCACAGCUGCACUACUUCCUGAACAUUAUUGGACAAACUGAUUAAUCCAGGUGUGCCUGACCUCAGUAGUCACAACAACAAUAAUCAGACACACCUGGAUUAAUCAGUUUGUCCAAUAAUGGCAGACAGGAAACAAAGGAGCUGGCUGAAGUUCAGGAAUUAGUGCAGCUGUGCAUAAAGCCAAUUAGCACUGGUAAAAAUUUAUAAAACAGAAACAAUAUAUUUUAUAUAUUAUUUAAUAAUACAGUUUAUUUAUCACAAAUAUCCAAUUUUAAUUUAAUUUUGCGGCUUAUGCUGGCUAAUUACUGACGUUUAACCUUGUUUUUCACUGUGUUCACAUAUUAGAUGGAGAAAUAAUUACAGAGGGAUUUAUGGAUAUCUGCUUUUGUUAUCCUGUAAAUCAGAAUAUACUGUCUAUGAAUAUGUUGCCCAUACCUCUCUAUCAUUUAUCAGUCUUUUACUUCUCACUAAUUUAGACUUUUGUUUCCACAGGUGGGAAUGCUGUCCUCCAUUGGUUGAAGAGAUACCAAAAACAUCAUAACCAACCAUGGCCAUUAUGGCUCCAUGCUUAAGGGUCACGGCUAUCAUGUCUUCCACACUCUGGGUCUUGUGGUGUGGAUACACCUUACUGCAGGCACCUUCAAGUUAUAGUUCACAUCUACAAAGUAUGAAGGAUAGACACGACAAUUCUGAUUCCACGAUCUUCCAACAUGAAUGCCCUCCUCUCAAGUGCCUUUCUGUCAAGGCAACGCAUUUGUGAGUGCCUAAUGCUAGCUACAUACGCUCCAUAAAGACGGGAAUCGCAUGGUGUCAUCAGAUAUGGCUGUAAAUUGGUGAACACUCUGCAUAACAUUGUGUUGUCCACCCCUUCUGACACCACCUCACAACAUUCUUCAGGGCUUAAAACAAACACAUUGUUUGGGCUUUUCAAUGACACCACUUUUUCCUUGUUUUCUUGCUUCAGCUUUGAUGUUUCCUCCAGACGAUUUGCUACUUGAGUUAAGACAUUUUUUCCAGAGCGGACCAUGUUCUUCAUCUGAUGUAGAUAGUUUUCAAAUUUAAACGCACUGCAGUUGUCAAGGCAGCCAAAGUUUUGAGCAUCUUCUGAAAGGUGCAGCAAUGAAUGGACGUUGUACACUAAAAAUGUCUCUCCAUAUAUCUCCCGUCCUUUCUCCACAAAGUAUUGAAGUAGUUGGCUGGCAUAAGGCCCUUGUGCCUUUGUAAGUUCUGGACUCACUAAGAUGCACAGAGCAGUGCUAAAACACAAGAAGUGUUCGUACAGUUGUCCUUGUAGUGCUCCCUUCAGAACUAUCUUCCCUGUGUAUAAUGCAAACUGUCUGAAUUCGGUUGCUUUCCAACGCUCAAUUUCUUGCAACCCCCUUGGCUUUCUGGCAAAGCAGUCAGGAAUUGUUUUCUUCAGUGUCACCAGCCUAUUGCUUACACGGGCCACGUCCCCUGAUGACAUGCGGUACUCGGAUCUACCUCUUGUCCACAAUAGCAGCAACUUUUUCAUGACCCCAAGGCAGCUCUGGUGCAUGUAAUCGAUGGGGAAUGAUUUGAUCAUGUCGAUUGGGAGGACAGAGAAAGGCGAAAUCUUCUCCUCGUGAUGGUGUUCUGGUUGCCAACACUCCCUGAAUGAUUGGUCUGUCCUCAAGGUCAGAUUGUCAACAUCUGGAUACGUCAUCCGACCAUCCCAGGAUCCCUUCUGGGUGCAUCUGUCGCACCCAUAGUAGCCCGAGAACUGCUUGACACACUUGACCAUGGCUUUGGCAGGAGCAUCGCAGGUUUGGAUGCAGCAGUGGUGAGGCAGAGGGGAAAAUACAUGCUGGUGACAAAUUAAUGGAACAAAGAACUGGCCAGAGGGACAAGUUUGAGCUUUUAAAUAAUGGUAGCCCAUCAACAUUUAAGGAGAGGUCCAGUGACUGCAGAUGGUCUGUCACAGCUGCAUAAUAUCUGCUCAGAUGCUUUGAGAGCUGAUCUGCCACAUUGAACUGUACACUCUCAACAGCAUCUUUGGUAUCCCUGGUGUCAUAGUUUACUUCCUGGAGGAGGAUGCUUUAGCAAUUUCAGCAUUGGACUUGUUCCCAUCCUUUUUGGUCGCCUCUCCUGCACUUGCUGUUUGGAAGUCAUUGCUUGCAUCUGAUUCAGGACCUGUCAUUCUGCAUUUCUGUUUUCAUUCGCUUUGCUUACAUUUUGAACCCUUAGCAAUAAUAAACGUUUUCUAUUUGGGCUAUAGUUGUACAUUCAAGUUUGUUUUUUCUUAAUUGAAUGUGUUUGUGUGGAUAUGCAACAAUUAUUUAUUUUAUAGUACUUCAUUGAUGGAAAUUUGCAAAGAUUCUGAAUUAAAAAAAACACAUUAACAUUGUUCUUAAUUUUUAUUGUCAUUGUUUUAAUCAGUUAAUCUAUAACUGCACAAUGGUGGUGCACUAUUGCCUGAUUUUGUGUGCAUUGUGAUUUAGAUUAUGCAACACAUUAAAUUGACCCUAAUUAAGUCA